UACUUAAUCUUUACCUGAGUGGCGAGAAUGAUGCAUUUGUUUGCCCGCCAGAACGUAACAGGCUAUCUCGCUCCUCAUUGGCUAAGCUGCGCGGAGUCAUUCGGGGUGACAUACUUGCCGCGGAUUGGUUCCUGAGUGGAGAAAGACGACGCGUGUGAGCAGUUGCGGGAGUGCGGGUGACUGUUGUGUUGUAUUAAAGACCGCGUGUUUCCUGCUACCCCGAGGUGGCAGGUGAGAGUGAACCAGCGUGGGCGUCUUCCCCAGUGUCCAGCAGGUGAAGAAUUCCGAGCCACAAGCCUCGGAUCGUGGGCAGCUCACAAAUAAGGGUGGGCGGUCAGGCCCUCAUCUCCCUCGCCUGGCGCCGCUCACACCACCCCUGGCGAUGUGGUGACGGCGACAGGGCGGCACGUGGCACGCGGUGUGUAAUGGAGGAGGCUACCAAAGUGGCAAGAGGAGAUGACUCGUGGGAACUACUCUAUGCUGAUGAUUUAUUAUUGACAGCAGAAUCAAGGGAAGAAGUGCCUGACAUGUUUAAUAGGUUGAAGAUGGAGAUGGAGCAGAGAGAACUGAAAAUGAACAUGGAGAAGACAAAACUAAUGGUAACCAGAAAUGAAGCUAGAGAAAGAAUUCAGUCAGGAAGAUGGCCAUGUGGAUGUUGUGGAAGAAGAGUGGGAGCAAACUUAGUGUUGUGUACUGUGUGUAACAAAUGGUGUUACCAAUAGUGCUCACGUCUGAGGAAUCUCAGUGGGAUGCAGAACUCUGUAUGUCCAAGACGUAUGUGGGAGGAGGAAGAUGGUGGUGGCGACAGUGAUGACAAAGAUGUUGGAUUGAAGGUGAAUGGAGGUGUGUUGGAGGAGGUACAACAGUUCUGCUACUUGGGAGAUAUGUUAGACUGUGAAGCAUGGGCAGAGAGAGCAGUAAAGGUGAGAGUAGCAGCUGCAUGUAGGAAGAUGGCAAGAAAUUACCAGUUUAUAGGUAAAUUGCAGCAUAAAACUGAGGAUCAGGGGAAGGGUAUACAAAGCUUGUGUCAGAUCUGCUCUUCUGUAUGGAGCAGAAACAUGGAAGCUGACAAACAGACUUACAAAUAUUCUAUGUAGCUGUGACCACAGGAUGCUGAGAUACAUGGCAGGAGUGAGGUGCAGAGAUGUGUGGAGUUAAAGACCUCUCUAUUGAGCUGAAAAAGAGAAGACUGAGAUGGUUCAGACACGUGAGAAGGGAGGAGGGAGGGAUGUUGAGUGAGAAUGAAAAAGAGGGUUGGAGACUGACGCCGAGGUAAGGCCAAAGAAAAGGUGGAGGGAGUGUGUGAUGGAGGAUAUGAAGCUGUUGAGAAUAGAACAUAUGGCACAAGAUCGCCUGAUGUGGAAAUGGGAAAAUGUGGAAGUUAAAAAGAAAUAAUGAUACUGAUGAUAAUCCUCUUGCCUACAUCUCGCCAUCCAUCCACUCACCAAGUCAAUCCAUUAAUUGU